CAGGGACAGCAGUGGGCGAAAAACAAGACGGAAGGACAGUGUCAGCAAAGGUCAGGGUGUCAGGCAACAGUCACAAUAACAGCUGCCAGGGCUCAGAGGACUACAGAGCACGAGGAGGAUGGCCGCUGUAUUGGCUUCGGACACAUUCCUGAGGCUUUGCAUCACACACCCAGGUGAGGCAGAAGGCUGGAGAGGCUUGCAGUGGGAGGAAUUCCCUCACCUCAGUUGUGAUAAGGCUCUGGAAAAGUCCUUGCUCCUGAAAGGAUUGUGAAUGCGCCAGUCAGUGAGAUUUUCCUGGAGACUGCAGAAAGCAUGGAAAUUUAGUCCAAGGGACUUUCAAUUCCAGUCUUGCCUGCUGGCCCAAGGCAAUGAUACUUCUCUGUGGCUUAGUUUACUCACCUGUGAACCAGAGACACAAAGCCUCUCAUGGACUGUUCUUACUGCCUUCCUUUGACAAAUGAUUCUCAGCCCAAGCCACCAGACAUUGGAAUCAAUCACGUGAGACAUUUUUUUAAAUUCAUUUUUGGCUGCCCCAUGCCAGGGACUAGAUCUGAGCCACACUUGUGACCUACGCCACAGCUGCAGCAAUGUGGGAUCCUUCAACCGCUGUGACGGGCAUGGGCAGGGAUUCAACCUGCGUCCUGGUGCAGCAGAGAUGCUGCUGAUCCCAUUAUGCCACAGCAGGAACCCACAAGAAGCUCUUUAAAAAGACCUUGGACAGGGUCCCA